rnacentral:rRNA from 2 species
UACGGAGGGUGCAAGCGUUAUCCGGAUUCACUGGGUUUAAAGGGUGCGUAGGUGGGUAUGUAAGUCAGUGGUGAAAUCCCCGAGCUUAACUUGGGAACUGCCGUUGAUACUAUAUAUCUUGAAUAUCGCGUAGGUAAGCGGAAUAUGUCAUGUAGCGGUGAAAUGCUUAGAUAUGACAUAGAACACCAAUUGCGAAGGCAGCUUACUUCACGAUUAUUGACACUGAGGCACGAAAGCGUGGGGAGCAAACAGG